AUUCCAGCUCUGUAAGCGUAUACCAAAGUUGUUGCAGUUAAAACGCUCGUAGUCGGACGUUGGCGGGCGCCUCGAGUCGGCCUCACGGUCGAUCUUGUUGGCGGCCGCCUUUGUGGAGGGGGGCUUAGGUCGGUGCUUUAUUGUCACUCCUUUGUCGCUGCCACCGUUUACUGUGAAAAAAUUAGAGUGUUCAAAGCGGGCGUUUGCCAUGAAUACAUUAGCAUGGAAUAAUAGAAUAGGACCUGGUCCUGUUUUGUUGGUUUGUGAGUAUCAGGUAAUGAUUAAGAGGGACGGUUGGGGGCAUUUGUAUUCCGGCGUCAGAGGUGAAAUUCUUGGAUUGCCGGAAGACAAACAGCUGCGAAAGCGUCUGCCAAGGACGUUUUCAUCA
rnacentral:rRNA from 1 species